rnacentral:rRNA from 1 species
GACGAACGCUGGCGGCGUGCUUAACACAUGUAAGUCGAGCGGUAAGGCCCUUUCGGGGUACACGAGCGGCGAACGGGUGAGUAACACGUGGGUGACCUGCCCUUAGCUCUGGGAUAAGCCUGGGAAACUGGGUCUAAUACCGGAUAUGACUCCAUGACGCAUGUUGUGGGGUGGAAAGCCUUGUGCGGCUAGGGAUGGGCCUGCGGCCUAUCAGCUUGUUGGUGGGGUGAUGGCCUACCUAGGCGACGACGGGUAGCCGGCCUGAGAGGGCGACCGGCCACACUGGGACUGAGACACGGCCCAGACUCCUACGGGAGGCAGCAGUGGGGAAUCUUGCGCAAUGGGCGAAAGCCUGACGCAGCGACGCCGCGUGGGGAUG